rnacentral:rRNA from 1 species
UGGGGAAUAUUGCACAAUGGGCGCAAGCCUGAUGCAGCCAUGCCGCGUGUGUGAAGAAGGCCUUCGGGUUGUAAAGCACUUUCAGCGAGGAGGAAGGUGGUGAGCUUAAUACGCUCAUCAAUUGACGUUACUCGCAGAAGAAGCACCGGCUAACUCCGUGCCAGCAGCCGCGGUAAUACGGAGGGUGCAAGCGUUAAUCGGAAUUACUGGGCGUAAAGCGCACGCAGGCGGUUUGUUAAGUCAGAUGUGAAAUCCCCGGGCUCAACCUGGGAACUGCAUUUGAAACUGGCAAGCUAGAGUCUCGUAGAGGGGGGUAGAAUUCCAGGUGUAGCGGUGAAAUGCGUAGAGAUCUGGAGGAAUACCGGUGGCGAAGGCGGCCCCCUGGANGAAGACUGACGCUCAGGUGCGAAAAGCGUGGGGCAGCAAACAGGAUUAGAUACCCUGGUAGUCCACGCUGUAAAACGAUGUCGAUUUUGGAGGUUGUGCCCUUGAGGCGUGGCUUCCGGAGCUAACGCGUUAAAUCGACCGCCU